rnacentral:rRNA from 1 species
GAUGAACGCCGGCGGCGUGCCUAAUACAUGCAAGUCGAGCGAACAGACGAGGAGCUUGCUCCUCUGACGUUAGCGGCGGACGGGUGAGUAACACGUUGAUAACCUACCUAUAAGACUGGGAUAACUUCGGGAAACCGGAGCUAAUACCGGAUAAUAUAUUGAACCGCAUGGUUCAAUAGUGAAAGGCGGUUUUGCUGUCACUUAUAGAUGGAUCCGCGCCGCAUUAGCUAGUUGGUAAGGUAACGGCUUACCAAGGCAACGAUGCGUAGCCGACCUGAGAGGGUGAUCGGCCACACUGGAACUGAGACACGGUCCAGACUCCUACGGGAGGCAGCAGUAGGGAAUCUUCCGCAAUGGGCGAAAGCCUGACGGAGCAACGCCGCGUGAGUGAUGAAGGUCUUCGGAUCGUAAAACUCUGUUAUUAGGGAAGAACAAAUGUGUAAGUAACUAUGCACGUCUUGACGGUACCUAAUCAGAAAGCCACGGCUAACUACGUG